rnacentral:rRNA from 1 species
UACAGAGGGGGCUAGCGUUGUUCGGAAUUACUGGGCGUAAAGGGCGCGUAGGUGGCCUGUUAAGUCGAACGUGAAAUCCCCCGGGCUCAACCCGGGAACUGCGUCCGAGACUGGCAGGCUCGAAUCCGGGAGAGGGAUGUGGAAUUCCAGGUGUAGCGGUGAAAUGCGUAGAUAUCUGGAGGAAUACCGAUGGCGAAGGCAGGUCUCUGGGCUGACACUGACGCUCAUGCACGAAAGCGUGGGGAGCAAACAGG